UGAAGUCACAGGCCUGACUUCCAGACUAGGCUCUGCCCCUAAGGAAAUCACCUUUCUGGUCUUAGUCUCCCCAUCUGAAAAUGGCAUAACCAACCUACCUGCCUCAAAUACAAGACCCUGCUUGUGAAGCGUCUCCUGGCUCAGACCAGUGCUAGAAGUGUCCAGUCUAGCAGCUCCUGGACCAAGACUCCGUGGCCAUUCCCUUCCUCCUGCCUUCCAUCCACCCCCUUACGAUACAGAAGUUGAGAUACAGAGAGGUGAAGGAACUUGUCCCAGGCCCUACAGCUAGUAAGUGAUGGACCUGGAAUUUAAGCCCAGGUAGACUGCCUCUAGAGACUGUGCUUACAACCCUUUUAUCCUGUGCCUGUUCCCCUUUUAUCCUGUUGUAGUUUUCAUCUUCUAAGAACUAUUUCAUUGGGUUGGUUUGAUUCUUAUUUCUCAUUAAUGGAUAGAGUAGAUACUUCA
rnacentral:lncRNA from 10 species